UCGCGAACGGCCGCGUACACACAGCAUCGUGACGGUGGUGUUCCACGUUUCUCAUUAACCAAAAAAAAGAACCGUCAUCCCCCAGUGAAUAACAUCUACGCACUUGACUCGUACGUAAGUGGUGUUUGGGUGAAACUGUACCUAUGAACCUGUCGUUCGGGAGGUGAGAGUGGGGUGGUGGUUGCGGUAAAACGUUCCACGAAUCGUUUCUUUCUGUUUCUUCGUUAUCUCGGAACUGGUGGCGAGGACACGAAGACAGGAAGUCGAGGGUGGUCGAUUUCUACGGAUCGGUCUGCGGUGAACGGUGCCGAAGGGAACGUGCGGAAGUAUGCGCGUGCUAUCGAUCACGGGGGCUGAUCGCGCGGAUAUGUGAUACCGGAAGUAGGCACGGCAGGCUUGACCUGCGUAGGUCAGGUGCUCGACGGGUGCGUAUGCGUUCGUAGGGGUGAGAUACAAAAGCAACGAAGGGUGCGCGAGAAGAGCCGCGUGUCAGGGCCAGUCGUGAAGAUGCACGCCACCGACGCCGUCGCCGCGACGGCGUCCUUGCCGUCAUCCACGUCGUCCAUCGGCAGGAAAUCGAAUCUGGCUGCCAGGAUUGUGUGCACCCUACUCGUGUAUUGCUGGAUCCUACAGGAUCAGCUGGCGAUCGGGAUGUCCGAACCACCGGAGCUCACCACGAUUGAGGACAUAAGUGAUAGGGGGACGAAGAAAUUUGGCGACGACUGCGUGGAGCAUCGUGAAUGCGGCUUCGACGGUUCAUAUUGCGAGCCAAAAAAGAAUAAAUGCGCGUGCAAGGAGGAAUUCGAGGCAACGAAUCAUAUCGACAAAUGUGGACACCCGGCGAACGUGAACGAGUCGUGCUUCUUUCACGCUCAAUGCGAGGCGAGGGUGAGCCAAACGGAAUGCAGGGACGGCCGUUGUAUCUGCAUCUUCGAGAAGAUCCCGGUUACGCAACCUGACGGUUUAAUAGUGUGCGUCGCCGAGCAGAAAGAAGAACCCAAUCUUCAAUACGUCGACCCGACGAUGAUCGGUGUUCUGGUUGGUAUGGCCCUCAUGUUCAUCAUCAUCUGCGUCGUCCUUAGGCUUUUCAGCAAGGCACGUUGGCGCGAGAAUCGCACUAUCUUCAAUACCCCGAAUGCCCGUUUGAUGAACGUAUCAUUGCUAAGGGAAAAUAAACUGUUGCACCCUCAGGAGAGACGUGGUUCAAGGGCAAGUGUACGGGUUCCUUCGAGGCAACCCUCGAUGGCCUCCUUACGUGCCCAUUCGCCAAACGCCUCGCAAGUCGACCAUCUAUAGCAGUAGUCUGUUUAAUGAUCCCGUCUGUGACCGUUGUUCUUGAUUAUCAUGUACUGUGGACCUAUGAGGUGCUCUAUUGUAAAAAAAAACUUUUCAAAUUGACGCGUCCUUCGAAGAGGGGUCACGAACAGGAUCACGACGAGGGAGUCGAGGCAGCAGCGGGAACGCGUCGGCUGUUUCGACGAAAUCGAACAAAUCCCCGCCCAAUCAACCGAAUAACAUGAC
rnacentral:misc_RNA from 1 species